UACAGAGGAUGCAAGCGUUAUCCGGAAUUAUUGGGCGUAAAGAGCUCGUAGGCGGCCUGUUGCGUCCGCUGUGAAAUCCCGGGGCUCAACCCCGGGCGUGCAGUGGAUACGGGCUGGCUGGAGGCAGGCAGGGGAGAACGGAAUUCCUGGUGUAGCGGUGAAAUGCGCAGAUAUCAGGAGGAACACCGGUGGCGAAGGCGGUUCUCUGGGCCUGUACUGACGCUGAGGAGCGAAAGCGUGGGGAGCGAACAGG
rnacentral:rRNA from 1 species